CAGCCGCCACGGGAAUACGAAGGGUGCAAGCGUUACUCGGAAUUACUGGGCGUAAAGCGUGCGUAGGUGGUGGUUUAAGUCCGUUGUGAAAGCCCUGGGCUCAACCUGGGAAUUGCAGUGGAUACUGGGUCACUAGAGUGUGGUAAAGGAUAGUGGAAUUUCCGGUGUAGCAGUGAAAUGCGUAGAGAUCGGAAGGAACAUCUGUGGCGAAGGCGACUAUCUGGGCCAACACUGACACUGAGGCACGAAAGCGUGGGGAGCAAACAGGAUUAGAUACCCGGGUAGUCCCUGUCUCUUAUAC
rnacentral:rRNA from 1 species